ensembl:lncRNA
AUCCUGUGGUUUAAUUUGAAAUGUGAUCAGUGAUGCUGCUGGGAGGGGUCAUGAGACAGUCAUGUAACUCUGACUCUCAAAAAAAGAAGAGGAACCGACUAAACCAGAGAGAAAAGGAGACGGAAACACACUGGGAGGACUACACAUUACAAAGAUAAGUGGAAUUUAACUUUGAGGAGAGCAAACAUAUUGAACUGUGAAGGUAGCAGACUGGGGUUCGUGUGAAGAUCAAUGAAGCUGAAGUUCAGUUCAGGAUGAAGAUCCUCCUCCUCUGCCUGAUCUUAGCAUUCUACAGGAGCACAUCAACAGCACCAACAGCAACUUACAGUACCACCUCAGCAGAACCACUAACAACAGCAUCUUACAGUAGGAGGUCAACAGUACCAACAGCAACAUUUUACAGGAGUACAUCAGGCAAAGCAGCACACACCUCUGGUGAACAUUUCAGUUCCUCUGUCAUCACCACUGUAUGUGUCUGUGUGGCUCUGCUGCUGAUGGGAGGAUCAGCACUGAUGUACAAACUGAGAUGCCAGAAAACACAAAAUUCUGCUUUCAGCAGCAGGCAAUCAGGAACAAAUGAAUCAGUUUAUAAUAAUUAUGAAAUUGACCAACCUGGGAACCUGGAUAACAUCAGCAUGAGUUCAGUCUACCAGAACCUGAAACCCAACACCAGCCAAACAGAUUCAGUUUACCAGAGUCUUGACCCCAUAAGAAAUAGACCAGAUUCGGUCUACCAAAGUCUAAAACCCAACACUGAUUGACCAAUUCAUGCUCUGUUAAAAAAUGUGUAGUAACAUAUCAAUUGUUGCCAGAUUGGCUAUUUAAAAGCACAUCUAAAUUUUUGUCAUAAACUUGGAGCUACUGUGAUUAAAUUGUGCUUUAACUUUACAGACACUUUAUGGAUUUUGGCCUCUAUUUUUAAUGAUGAAAUGUGUGCAACAAAUGUGUAGAAGUUUAAUAUGAACUUUCUUUAUUCAUUUGGUGACAAAAGUUCUGAGAAAAAGAUGAAAUUAUUUUAGUCAGUAAUGAAAAAUCUUCACAAGCACGUUACCUCAUUUAAAAAGAAAUAAUAGCUUAUAGCUUCACUUUUGCAAAAAAAUGAUAGGGCCUUAUGAAUGUACUAGAACAGUUAUCAACAUUAUCAAUAACAGUUAUUUUUUUCCAAUACUCUUUUCUAACAUUGCUCUCACUUACAUGCACCUGGGGCUUAUUGUCAAGACUUUGAAUCAAUUUCAGAUGUUUUCCCUCUUUAAAAGAACAAGUCACACCCGGCCAAGAAACUGCUUAUCAGUCAACUGUCCAAUUACUUUUGAGCCUGUGAAAAUGGAGGGACUGUAGUUCCUAAAUGGUCAAUGCAAUGUUUUUGUUAAACCCUUUUAAUUAAAUCUGACAGUGUUGUUAUUAAAUAAAAAAUCCAAUAAUAGUACAGACUGGCAGAGGGGAAUUAGUCAACUAAACCAAGACCCACAGUAACUAACUCUUACAUUGUGUAAAGUGAAACUGAAGAAAAGAUGAAGUUGCAAUACAGCUAGCAUCAUCCAAGUGGGCACAGUCAGUGUGUAUUCCGCUGCCACAGUACCCCGGGGAAAGACACAGGGAGCUGUAGGUAAAAGUACUCAGAUGCUUGUGGACUUGCUGCCAGAGCAACACAAUGAUUCUCCAAUACGUUUUUACAGAUGCUGGUAAUAUUACAGAUAGACCUACUGGCAGCAGAGCUGAGUACUAUAAUGCAGCUGAUUUAUCCAGGGUUUGGGGUGGCAGUUCAGGAGGAGUUAAUGCUGGAGUAUUUUUUAAUUGUGGUGCUACUAGAGAAGCUAGAGAGGCAACAAACUGGCCAGUCUCCAAGCUACUGUUAAUAACGCUGAGGUGGAGUCAGUAAGGAAAAAGGAUGAAAGUUGGUGGUUUUGUGUUGACAGCAGCUCAAGGCUGUAACUAAAACCAAACUAUAUGCAUUCCCAUGCACUGGUGAUGCUUUGGACCAGCUUGUCGGCUCCACAUGGUUCAGUUCACUGAAUCAACAGCAUGAGUACUGCCAGGUGGCAUUUGCUCUGGAGACCAGAAAAAGAUGCUCUUCACGCUGGGUGCCGGACUGUGGCGUUUAAUGCUAAUGGUUUUCGGCCUCCAAAAUGCACCGGCUAUGUUUGAGUGGCUGAUGGAACCAGGGAUCAUAAGUGUCCCUAAAGACUGGUUUAUUUCAGGAAUAAAAAUGUUCUAUUCAGCAUCAUGCUGGGUGCAUACACUAGACUUGAUGUUGUAAGCCCUGAGGAUUUCCACUUUGCCCAGAUGAGAGACUUUUCUGGUAAUGUGGUUGUCUUCAGGCAGGGCAGACACCAGAAUGAACAGACAGAACACCACAGGUGCUCUGCACAGGUUGGGACAGCCUCCAGUUAUGCAUAGGGCUGCUGCACAAUGUGUGAGAGGAGCCAGUGCCCAGUAAGCAUUUCGGGCAGGAGCUGUUGCCACACAGCCUCCCCAAAAUAGUGCUGGGCUUGGUGCAUGGGGUGUCUGGUGUGGGUCAUUUUGGGAUGAGCAAAACCCUGAAGUGGCUGCAGCAGAGAUUCUACUGCCCAGGCUGUUGUCUGGACAUGGAGCUCUAAGUGAACUACUACAACUGAUUUGGCCAAGAAAGGACUGCCAUAGCUGUAGCACACCCCACUGCAGUGUCCUGAUGGAGAGGGUGGGUGUGGAUGUCCUGAGCCUUUUCCCAUCACUGAGACCAGAAAUGUACAUACUCAUGAAUUAUUUAAUUAAAUGUCUUGAGUCGAGUCAAGUGUGACAUUGACAGCAGAGUGACUGGUAUAGGAGUUUUUCUGCUGGUUUUGCAGGCAAGAGCAGCUCCAAGUUGUCUCUCAGAGUGAUGGUCUCAUUGAGGCGCAACUUUGGUGGUCAUGCCUAGGGUUUGUAGCCAGCUGGGCAUCUGAAAGACUCGGAACACAUCACUCCACCCUCAGAGUGACGGCCUUGUGGAGCAUUUUAAUUGAAUGCCCACUAUUCAGCUUGUCAUCCUUAACACUAAUCUUCCACGAGCUACGAAAAUUUUCGUAAGGGAAACCAGCGACCAUGUAGCCCACUCCCCUGCUGUGAAGCGAUUAACGCCCAUUGUCUUGGUAAUGAUAUGGAGUGCGGUGGAAGUGGAAACCCCCCAUGCCCACAGAAAGCUCCUACAGCUCCCAAAGCACCUAACAUGACACAACUUGAAGGUGAACUUCAAGUUACAACCCGAGUGUAUAUGUUACCGAUCCGACAGCGCGACGGAGAAUCUGUAGAAUCGUGUUUCAAAAGUUAUAAUUCAAGGGCACGUAGUAGCGACGGACGGAGCAGUGGCGAUUUCUCUAAGACUGCCAGGGAAGCUCAGCUUGCCCUAAAAUGUCAAAUAUGUUCAGUUGUGUUAACAUUUCAUUCACUACAAAUGCGUUAAAAGCUGAGUGUCUUUUCACUUCAACAGGUCCGCUCAUUCAAACGGGACGUUUUUUUCAUUGCUUCGAAACUCGCCGUCAUUGGAUAAAUGCCACGAUUUUGUCCCGCCCCCGAACGCAGAGCGUCUCUGUGGUGAAUGGAGCUGUGGGCGGGUCUGGACGCGGAGCUUCUGCAAAAUGAUUGAAGGAUCAGACGAAAGGAUGAAUCCUGUUUUGAUUGACAGCUAUUUUUACCCAUUUACGUCAAAAGACAAACUGCAACCCAUUUCUUGGCGUUUACUUGGUGAAAUUACUUGUGCAUUUCCGUUGUUCAUUGUGUAAAUAAAACACACUCCUAGUAUUUCCUUGUUUCAGUUUAACAUAAUUUCAACAUUUCCUUGUACGAGUUUAAUUUCGUUUCGUUAGUUUGUUCAGUCAGUCGUUCAUACUGCUGGCAAGGUCGAAGUGAACUAGCCAGCAAACAAGGUUCACACACAGAGCUGCUGUCUCAGUCCUCCUCUGUGAAUUAACAUAAUAAAGGGUGAUGUAUGGUCCUGCUAAUUGCUGGCAAGAAGGAGGGGUGAUGUCCUGAGGAUCUUGAAAUCUCAGGAGGGCUAGUGUUAAUGACUAGCACAGUUGAGACCGACAUUUGCCCCUGAUCCUGCUCAACUGCUGGUUUGCUGAACAGGGGCCAACUGGGUUCAAUCCAGCUCUGCUUAUGUUUGAUGCUCAGGAUACCUAUGGAGCUGUUCUUUGUGAGCCCAAAUUACCAUAAGCUAAUAUGCUAAGGCAUUGCACAAGCAUCUCCAUGUUUUGCAACAGCUCACCACAGAACAUCAGGGCAAGGCCAGCGCCCACCAGAAAUGAUGGGUGUGCCUCAAAGGUGGUGCUACCCUAAACUGCAAUCAUUCUGGGAAGGCCAUUGUGCGGUAAAAGAAUGCUUGGCUGAGGUGGUGUAUCUGGUCUUGGCAGGAAGGUGGACUGUUAUAGUUCAUAGGGAUGGAUAUAUGGGCCCUGUGAACAAGAGACCAUGCCAAGCUAAGUGAAACUGUCACUUUAGGGCUCUUGCCCCAAGAAAGAGUUGGAAGCCUCCAGAGCAGAGGUGCUUCCCCAGAUUCUUGUGCUGACCAAGACAGUGGACAUUCUGAGACCCCUGCAGUGAGACCUUUUAUGUUGUGCUUGAAAUAAUAUGGCAUAUUUCAAGCAAAUAAUUCUGACUCUUCUUCAGGAGGCCUACCCAAAAUUUAUGAAGAGGUUACUGCUGCAGUUAUUUUGAAGCAGAACUGUAAAAGUGAGAGAACGUGUUUCAGUUACAUUUAAAAAAAAAAACAAAUGAGACCCUUUGAUUUAAUUGGCAGGUUCAAUGGGCUUCUUUAAUGUGAUCGGCCACCCAAGGGAUAGCGUCAUAAUCAACUUAUGGUGUGAUUUUCAUAAAACAGACUAAAAAUAUUAAUAAAAACUCUGCAUUUAAAUCUGACCUUGAUUUAUUCCUAUGGUCAUAAUCUUUCUGUAAGGUCAGGAAGCUGGGAAUGUCUUACUUUCCGAAAAAGUUAGAUGUGCAGAAAGGUUAAAUUGGAUCACUGCUAAAUAAGAUUUCAAACGUUAUGAGAAUUGGCAAUAUUCUUCAAUAAAUCAAUCAAUGAAUAUAAAAUAAUAAUUUUUAAAAAAUGCAGCCAUUAUGGAUAGUCUCUCAACAACUGUGAAGAACAUGUGAGAAGCUGUUCCUUAAAAGUACAAGAACAAAAUGCUG